rnacentral:rRNA from 1 species
AAAAAAGGUAAGUUACUAAGAGCGAAUGGUGGAUGCCUUGACUGGUAAAGGCGAUGAAGGACGUACUAGACUGCGAUAAGCUACGGGGAGCUGUCAAGAAGCUUUGAUCCGUAGAUUUCCGAAUGGGGCAACCCAAUGUAUAGAGAUAUACAUUACCUAUAUAGGAGCGAACGAGGGGAAUUGAAACAUCUUAGUACCCUCAGGAAAAGAAAUCAAUAGAGAUUGCGUCAGUAGCGGCGAGCGAAAGCGCAAGAGGGCAAACCCAGUGCUUGCACUGGGGGUUGUAGGACUGCAAUGUGCAAGAGGUGAGUUUAGCAGAACAUUCUGGAAAGUAUAGCCAUAGAGGGUGAUAGUCCCGUAUGCGAAAAACAAACCUUAGCUAGCAGUAUCCUGAGUAGGGCGGGACACGAGAAAUCCUGUCUGAAGCUGGGUCGACCACGAUCCAACCCUAAAUACUAAUACCAGAUCGAUAGUGCACAAGUACCGUGAGGGAAAGGUGAAAAGAACUGAGGUGAUCAGAGUGAAAUAGAACCUGAAACCAUUUGCUUACAAUCAUUCAGAGCCCUAUGUAGCAAUACAGGGUGAUGGACUGCCUUUUGCAUAAUGAGCCUGCGAGUUGUGGUGUCUGGCAAGGUUAAGCAAACGCGAAGCCGUAGCGAAAGCGAGUCUGAAUAGGGCGCUUAGUCAGAUGCUGCAGACCCGAAACGAAGUGAUCUAUCCAUGAGCAAGUUGAAGCUAGUGUAAGAACUAGUGGAGGACUGAACCCAUAGGCGUUGAAAAGCCCCGGGAUGACUUGUGGAUAGGGGUGAAAGGCCAAUCAAACUUCGUGAUAGCUGGUUCUCUCCGAAAUAUAUUUAGGUAUAGCGUUGUGUCGUAAUAUAAGGGGGUAGAGCACUGAAUGGGCUAGGGCAUACACCAAUGUACCAAACCCUAUCAAACUCCGAAUACCUUAUAUGUAAUCACAGCAGUCAGGCGGCGAGUGAUAAAAUCCGUCGUCGAGAGGGGAACAACCCAGACUACCAGCUAAGGUCCCUAAAUCUUAUUUGAGUGGAAAACGAUGUGAAGUUACUUUAACAACCAGGAGGUUGGCUUAGAAGCAGCCAUCCUUUAAAGAAAGCGUAAUAGCUCACUGGUCUAGUGAUUUUGCGC